rnacentral:rRNA from 1 species
AACGAACGCUGGCGGCGCGCCUAAUACAUGCAAGUCGAGCGAGAAGGUGUAGCAAUACACUUGUAAAGCGGCGAACGGGUGAGGAAUACAUGGGUAACCUACCCUCGAGUGGGGAAUAACUAGCCGAAAGGUUAGCUAAUACCGCAUACGAUUCCAGGACUUCAGUCCUGGAAGGAAAGCACUACCGUGGGUAGUGCGCUCCUGGAUGGGCUCAUGUCCUAUCAGCUUGNGGUGAGGUAAAGGCUCACCAAGGCUUCGACGGGUAGCUGGUCUGAGAGGACGAUCAGCCACACUGGCACUGCGACAC